rnacentral:rRNA from 1 species
UACGUAGGGCGCAAGCGUUAUCCGGAAUUAUUGGGCGUAAAGAGCUCGUAGGCGGUUUGUCGCGUCUGCCGUGAAAGUCCGGGGCUCAACUCCGGAUCUGCGGUGGGUACGGGCAGACUAGAGUGAUGUAGGGGAGACUGGAAUUCCUGGUGUAGCGGUGAAAUGCGCAGAUAUCAGGAGGAACACCGGUGGCGAAGGCGGAUCUCUGGGCCAUUACUGACGCUGAGGAGCGAAAGCGUGGGGAGCGAACAGG